rnacentral:tRNA from 1 species
GAUAAAGUGGCUGAGUUUAAGCAAUAAAUUGUAAAUUUAUUAACGGAAAUUUUUUUCCUUUUAUCA